UGUUUGCCGAAUCAAGCACGGAUAUUGUAAUAGUAAUAAUGGAUGACUUCAAGACAAAGGAAAGAAGUGUCAAUUUUACUAAGGAAGAGAUUAGUCGAUUGCAGAUACUUGUAGACAAAUAUAAAAUGUACUUAUGUGUAAAAAAACUGAUGGGAGUAGUACAAAACAAAAAGACCAUGCAUGGCACUGCAUCGCAAAGGAAUUUAAUGCUGUUGGUCAAGUACCUAGAAACAUGAAGCAGCUAAAAUAUAAAUUUGAAAAUAUGAAAAGAUCUGCAAAGAAGGUAGCAAGUAGAGAACGUCAGGAAAUGAGACGCACAGGUGGAGGAAAUCCUCCCUCACUUCCUCCAGAUUCAGAAGAUGCUACUGAUUGGUUAAGAUCCAUUAUGUCUGGAUCUAUUGAUGGAAAUGAGGCUAUAUAUGAUGAUGACAUUAUUUCCCAAAUUCCAUUGUUACAAUUCCCAUAAUUCACAAAGAUAAGGAUUUUGAUGAAAUUCCUCCUAUACAAAAAAAAGUGAAACUAGACACAAAUACUGAUAGUGAAAUUCAACAUGACAUGCCCAAUAUACUCAAGGAUGUUGUAGUCAACACAAUUAUUACAGAUCAAGACAAAAGUUUUGAUAAUGUUGAAAAUAUUGUCCCAGAUGAAGUUUUUGAUGCUAGUGCCCCACAUUCAUCACUAAAGAGACCAGUAGCACCACAACUAAGUCGUAUCAUAAAGAAAAAACAAGGGAAGAGUGAAAAUAUCAUAAAACAAGCACUAAGGGAAAAGAAACUGACAGUUUUAGAUGGCCUUCAUGAGUUGGAGAUGGAAAAGAUAAAGUUAUCUAUUAGUCACCAAAAUGAAUUACACAGCCAGUUACUGAGGCACAAUGAAGAAAAACAUAAGCUUGAAGUGGAUAAACUUAAACUUGAAAUAGAUAUU